rnacentral:rRNA from 1 species
GACGAACGCUGGCGGCGUGCUUAACACAUGCAAGUCGAACGGAAAGGCCCUGCUUGCAGGGUACUCGAGUGGCGAACGGGUGAGUAACACGUGGGUGAUCUGCCCUGCACUUCGGGAUAAGCCUGGGAAACUGGGUCUAAUACCGGAUAGGAGCCAUUUUUAGUGUGAUGGUUGGAAAGUUUUUUCGGUGUAGGAUGAGCUUGCGGCCUAUCAGCUUGUUGGUGGGGUAAUGGCCUACCAAGGCGGCGACGGGUAGCCGGCCUGAGAGGGUGGACGGCCACAUUGGGACUGAGAUACGGCCCAGACUCCUACGGGAGGCAGCAGUGGGGAAUAUUGCACAAUGGGCGCAAGCCUGAUGCAGCGACGCCGCGUGGGGGAUGACGGCCUUCGGGUUGUAAACUCCUUUCGCUAGGGACGAAGCUUUUUGUGACGGUACCUAGAGAAGAAGCACCGGCUAACUACGUG